rnacentral:rRNA from 1 species
AUUGAACGCUGGCGGCAUGCUUUACACAUGCAAGUCGAACGGUAACAGGGAGCUUGCUCCGCUGACGAGUGGCGAACGGGUGAGUAAUGCAUCGGAACGUACCCAGUCGUGGGGGAUAACGUAGCGAAAGUUACGCUAAUACCGCAUACGUCCUGAGGGAGAAAGCGGGGGACCGUAAGGCCUCGCGCGAUUGGAGCGGCCGAUGUCGGAUUAGCUAGUUGGUAGGGUAAAGGCCUACCAAGGCGACGAUCCGUAGCGGGUCUGAGAGGAUGAUCCGCCACACUGGGACUGAGACACGGCCCAGACUCCUACGGGAGGCAGCAGUGGGGAAUUUUGGACAAUGGGCGAAAGCCUGAUCCAGCCAUGCCGCGUGAGUGAAGAAGGCCUUCGGUGUAAGCUCUUUCAGCCGGAAAGAAAUACGCGCAGGAUAAUAACUCUGCGUGGAUGACGGUACCGGAAGAAGAAGCACCGGCUAACUACGUGCCAGCAGCCGCGGUAA